GACGAACGCUGGCGGCAUGCUUAACACAUGCAAGUCGAACGGAAAGGCCCUGCAUAUGUGGGGUGCUCUAGUGGCCAACGGGUGAGCAACACGUGAGUACCCUUCCCUUCACUUUAUGAUAUGUUCAGAAACCUGGGGCUAUUACCGGAAAGGAGCUUCUGCUGCCUGGUGGGCGUUGGAAAGUUUCGGCAGUUGGGGAUGGACUCGCGGCUUAUGAGCUUGUUGGUGUGGUAGUGGCUUACCAAGGCUUCGACGGGUAGCCUGCCUGAGAGGGUGACCGGCCACAUUGGCAAAGAGAUACGGCCCAGACUCCUACGGGAGGUAGCAGAGGGGAAGAUUGCACAAUGGGCGGAAGCAGCGUGCAGGAACGCCGCGUGAGGGGUGACGGACUGCGGUUAGUAGAGCGCAUUCGCCUGCAACGGAGCGUGAGUGACGGUAAUGGGUAAAUAAGAACCGGCUAACUACGUG
rnacentral:rRNA from 1 species